GACGAACGCUGGCGGCGUGCUUAACACAUGCAAGUCGAACGGGAUUUAGUAAACGGAAGCCUCGGUGGAAGAUUACUAAUGAGAGUGGCGAACGGGUGAGUAACGCGUGAGCAACCUGCCUAUGACAGUGGGAUAGCCUCGGGAAACCGGGAUUAAUACCGCAUAAAAUCGUAGAAACACAUGUUUCAACGGUCAAAGAUUUAUCGGUCAUAGAUGGGCUCGCGUCUGAUUAGCUAGUUGGUGAGAUAACAGCCCACCAAGGCGACGAUCAGUAGCCGGGCUGAGAGGAUGGACGGCCACAUUGGAACUGAGACACGGUCCAAACUCCUACGGGAGGCAGCAGUGGGGAAUAUUGCACAAUGGGGGAAACCCUGAUGCAGCGACGCCGCGUGAACGAAGAAGGUAUUCGUAUCGUAAAGUUCUGUCCUAUGGGAAGAUAAUGACAGUACCAUAGAAGAAAGCGCCGGCUAAAUACGUG
rnacentral:rRNA from 1 species